UACGUAGGUGGCGAGCGUUAUCCGGAAUGAUUGGGCGUAAAGGGUGCGUAGGCGGCCUGCUAAGUCUGGAGUGAAAGGUACCGGCUCAACCGGUACAGGCUCUGGAAACUGGCGGGCUAGAGAGCAGGAGAGGGCGGUGGAACUCCAUGUGUAGCGGUAAAAUGCGUAGAUAUAUGGAAGAACACCAGUGGCGAAGGCGGCCGCCUGGCCUGUUACUGACGCUGAGGCACGAAAGCGUGGGGAGCAAAUAGGG
rnacentral:rRNA from 1 species